GACGAACCGUGCGAACGUUAUUCGGAAUCAUUGGGCUUAAAGGGUGCGUAGGCGGGCUCGUGCGUCAGGGGUGAAAUCCCACGGCCCAACCGUGGAAGUGCCUCUGAUACCGCGGGCCUCGAGGGGGAUAGGGGCGUGCGGAACUUCCGGUGGAGCGGUGAAAUGCGUAGAUAUCGGAAGGAACACCGGUGGCGAAAGCGGCGCGCUGGAUCCCUACUGACGCUGAGGCACGAAAGCCAGGGGAGCAAACGGG
rnacentral:rRNA from 1 species